UCUCAUCUCAAUGUGGAUUGGCUGUUCUCCACCUGUCUUCAAACUCUCAAACUCAGGAAGUGAUAACAAGGAGAGCCAGCUGCGGGCUGGGCUGGCAGUGAGGAGGAAGUCAUGGGGUCUGAGAAAGGGAAAUUUGAAGCCGGAAAAUAGAAACUUCAGGUGGGGCUUCUCUUCAAAUGCAGUUUCUGCCUUCUUUCUUUUUGCAAACUUACCCUGUGUCUGCCCGUGGACAUGGGCAGUGACAGCGGAUGCCUGACGGCGUGGAGGCCCAGACCCUUGUCCCGAGGGGCUCAGGACCUUGCCCUGGGCUAACUGGCAGAACGGAAGAGAAUGGUAUUUCUUGCACACCCAGGGAGGUGUUUUGACCUGAAUGGUAAUGAUGUGCCGGGCCUCCUUUGGUGUCUUCCCACAGCCGGCCCACGAGCCACAGGCCGGCUCCACACACCCCUCCCUGCUCCCGGUGCUCAGCGAGGACAAAGGUGAAGCCGAGGGCAGCGGCCAGCUGGCCCGGAGCAUGGUCUCCUUUGGCUCUUCCAGGGGCAGCCCGCGGCGGCGAAGAGAGCAGAGGGACCCGGGCCAGAUCCUGGACCACAACCUGGGCUGACGGCACCUGGCAGGGCCGUAGCGAAGACAACCAGGGGCCGCGGAGAAGAUGCCUGCGUGGGGCAGGCCCUGGGGGCUGAGAGCUGUGACGGCUUUAGUGCAAAGUGAAGGGACUCGUUUUACAGAUGGGGAAACUGAGCCCCAAGGGCAGGCUUGACCGAGGUCACACAGUCACAGGCAGGGAUUCGGGCUCUCCAGGGACUCUCAUCGGCACCAUCUCACCGGUGUUCACAGUCACUCUGAACCAUCCUGUGGACAAAUUUCCUCUCUGAGCCUCAGUUUCCUCAUUCAUGAAUGGGAGUCAUUAAUACCCGUCUGAUGGAGCAAUUAUGGGGAUCACACGAGACAUAACCGCGGAGCGGACAGCCCCAGGCCUGCAGAACGUGGUCCUCCCAGUGCUGAACGGCACCGUCCAGCCUGCUGCGUGGCUUCAUCAAGAAUCGUGUCCACGCAGAGGCCUCCAGUGAUGCCUGCAGCCACACCGUCCACCCCUGCCGGGAGUGCUGUGGGCUCCGCAGUGGCCU
rnacentral:lncRNA from 1 species